rnacentral:rRNA from 1 species
GAUGAACGCUAGCGGCAGGCUUAACACAUGCAAGUCGAGGGGUAACAGGGAGGAGCUUGCUUUUCCGCUGACGACCGGCGCACGGGUGCGUAACGCGUAUAGAACCUACCUUUUACAGGGGAAUAGCCCAGAGAAAUUUGGAUUAAUGCCCCAUAGUAUUAUUGAAUGGCAUCAUUUAAUAAUUAAACAUUUAUGGGUAAAAGAUGGCUAUGCGUUCUAUUAGCUAGAUGGUAAGGUAACGGCUUACCAUGGCAACGAUAGAUAGGGGUCCUGAGAGGGAGAUCCCCCACACUGGUACUGAGACACGGACCAGACUCCUACGGGAGGCAGCAGUGAGGAAUAUUGGACAAUGGAGGCAACUCUGAUCCAGCCAUGCCGCGUGCAGGAAGACGGUCCUAUGGAUUGUAAACUGCUUUUAUAUAGGAAGAAACCUUUCCACGUGUGGAAAGCUGACGGUACUAUAAGAAUAAGCACCGGCUAACUCCGUGCCAGCAGCCGCGGUAAUACGGAGGGUGCAAGCGUUAUCCGGAAUCAUUGGGUUUAAAGGGUCCGUAGGCGGACUAAUAAGUCAGGGGUGAAAUCCAACAGCUUAACUGUUGAACUGCCUUUGAUACUGUUAGUCUUGAGUUAUAUGGAAGUAGAUAGAAUAUGUAGUGUAGCGGUGAAAUGCUUAGAGAUUACAUAGAAUACC